GCAGCAGCGGCGGGCGCAGGGUCGCGGCUCCCUAGGAGAUGCUGCAGCGGCGGCAGCACCAGCCACCUCCUCCGGGAGCCAAUCGCGAAUGCAGGGGUGGGGGCCGAAGCUCGAUGCGUCCGCACUUGGUGGGGGCAGAGAGAGAAAGAAGACACCAGGCACCCCCUCUCCACACCCCUGCCCUUCCCCCAGCCCUCCUGCAGCAGCGCAGACUUAGCAGGAGGAAGAUCUUGAGAGAGAGAGAGAGAGAGAGAGAGAGAGAGAGAGAGAGAGAGAGAGAGAGAGAGGGAGAGAGAGAAGGCGCUGGUGCAGAGUUAGGGAGAGGCGGCCGAGCUGCACACCUUGAGCCCCGGCCUCCUCCGAAGGGAGCCCCUGCACCCCAGCGGGGUCAGCACAAGAAUUGGGGCCAGGAUCAGGUGGUGACAGAGCCACCUGGGUUUCCGGAGACUCUCAAGCCAACCCCAAGUCAUGACAAAUGCCAGUCGCCUUGGACAGAGGCAAGGCCAACCUGCUUGCCGCCCCCAGCCAGGCCCUGCCACCAAGGG
rnacentral:lncRNA from 1 species